UACAGAGGUCCCAAGCGUUGUUCGGAUUCACUGGGCGUAAAGGGUGCGUAGGUGGUCAGGUAAGUCUGAUGUGAAAGCUCUGGGCUCAACCCAGAAAUGGCAUUGGAUACUAUCUGGCUAGAGGAAUGGAGGGGGGACUGGAAUACUUGGUGUAGCAGUGAAAAUGCGUAGAUAUCAAGUGGAACACCAGUGGCGAAGGCGAGUCCCUGGACAUUUCCUGACACUGAGGCACGAAAGCUAGGGGGAGCAAACAGG
rnacentral:rRNA from 1 species